ACGACGGACGAGGGACGAAAGGAAAACGUGCAAGUCGGGAACGACACAAAAAAAGAAGGGGGCUCGCUGAAAAGGACGGACGAGGGGCGCUAACGAAGGAGCGACGGACGAGGGGCGUUAACGAAGGAGCGACGGAUGAGGAGGCCCGCUGAAAAGGAAAACGCGGACGAUGGACGGACGAGAGACGAAAGGAAAACGCGUACGACGGACGAAAGGAAAACGUGCAAGUCGGGAACGACACAAAAAAAGAAGACCUCCAGGACGGGCAGAACGAGCGACGGACGAGAGGCGCUAACGUAGGUAGGGUCUCGCCCAGAGGCGUCCCCCCACCAGCCGAGGGGGUACAGAAGCGGGCACGGAUCUUCCCAGGAAGUGGCGAAGGUCAGUAGCCAGGAGAGGCAGAGACCCACGGGCGGCGCCCAAGGAACGGAGGCGAAGGAGAGUAGCUCGAAAUUCCAAACGCCAUAAAGACAAGUGAGAGGGGAAAGGGAGGAACAAGUACGUACGGAGGUCCCCCAGGCCUCGGCACGGGGGAGGGGGGAGUACUGUUGGUACCAUGGACCGUCCUGCGGUCCAUGGACCCAGACCAACCCCUAGGGGCCUAGACGGGCCGGGGGACACGAUUGGGCCGGGGAUCCCGCGAGGCCCAAAGGUGAAGGAAACAGUAUAAAUACCUCCCCUAGUCCAUGUGGGGAGGGGGUUGGAGAUUGGAACAAAGGAACACUCGACGAGUUGAGGGUGCG
rnacentral:lncRNA from 1 species